rnacentral:rRNA from 1 species
GACGAACUGUGCAAACGUUAUUCGGAAUCACUGGGCUUGAAGAGUGCGUAGGCGGUUUCGUAAGUAGGGUGUGAAAGCCCCCAGCUCAACUGGGGAACUGCGUCCUAAACUGCGAGGCUGGAGUGAGGUAGGGGUGUGUGGAACUUCCGGUGGAGCGGUGAAAUGCGCAGAUAUCAGGAGGAACACCGGUGGCGAAGGCGGAUCUCUGGGCCAUUACUGACACUGAGGCGCGAAAGCGUGGGGAGCGAACAGG